GGAUGCGGUCAUACCAGCACUAAAGCACCGGAUCCCAUCAGAACUCCGAAGUUAAGCGUGCUUGGGGACGUUGAUGAACUUAAACGACCGGCACGGCAUUUU
rfam:Brachypodium distachyon strain Bd21 chromosome 4, whole genome shotgun sequence.